rnacentral:misc_RNA from 1 species
UUUUUUUUUUUUGGUUUUGUUUUUCCUUAUACAAGUACAGUGGUGAUCGAGGAAGGCCAAAUAGUGCAGGUAUUUUCAUAAGUGGAUUCGUAUUGGGAGGAAUAGUGGUUGGAACAUUGGGAUGUGUGUAUGCUCCACAGGUACUGCUUGAUCAUCUAUCUGAUAAAUUGUUGUUGAAUUUGCUAUGUGUUAACUGUUAAGUAAGGCUUCUGUUUUACUAAGUUAUUCAUUGAUGUUGAUGGUGUAUGUUCUCUUGAAGGCUAUGCCUUUAUAUCAUGGGAGUUGUAGCUUGACUACUGCUAUAUAUGAUGCGUCAUUUGCUGCUUUUAUCUUCACAGUUUUAUCUUUCUUUCUUUCGCUCUCUCUCUGAAUGCACUUUUGCUUUGCCUUGGUCUUUACUUGGAUGUUAAAUCUAAUCUUCUAGUCCAUAUGAUUAACAUUUUUUGUUCAGGUAAUGAUGUUUAGGAGAAGAUGUAAGUAUUUGAGCAUCUAGUUAGCCAAAAAUCAGUAUAUUAUGCAUUAACACUUUUAUAUGGACUUUUGGCCAAUAGCUCUCUUCUUGUUCUACAGAACAGGAAACCCAUGGACCACAUCUGAUGGAUGUUUCACUGAUAUUGCAGAUCAGCAAGGCACUAGCUGGA